AUGGUCACCACCAAGAUGUGCAAGCUGCCGAGCGCUGACUGGCUGUUCCUCUUCGUCGCGGAGCUGGGAUGGACAUUGGCACUGAUCCCUCCUUCCCCCAUGGGCCUCUCUGCCCGGCGCUACGACUCCAUCUUCAGCUUCGGCGACUCCCUUCGCCGACACCGGCAACAACCCCGUCGUCUUGGCCGCCAGCUCCAUCUUCGACCCUCUCAGCGCCUGGGCCUGCCGCUCGUCCCGCCGUCCCUGGCGCACAACGGGAGCUUCCGCCGAGGCACCAACUUCGCCGUCGGGAGCGCCACCGCUCUCGACGCCACUUUCUUCCACGGUGGCAAGUUCCCUCUUAACGCCAGCUUGGCCGUACAGCUGCAGUGGUUCGAGUCGCUCAAGCCUUCUCUCUGCCGCACAACCAAGAAAAUCAACUGA
rnacentral:rRNA from 1 species